rnacentral:rRNA from 1 species
GACGAACGCUGGCGGCGUGCUUAACACAUGCAAGUCGAACGGAAAGGCCCUGCUUUUGUGGUGUGCUCGAGUGGCGAACGGGUGAGUAACACGUGAGUAACCUGCCCUUGACUUUGGGAUAACUUCAGGAAACUGGGGCUAAUACCGGAUAGGAGCUCCUGCUGCAUGGUGGGGGUUGGAAAGUUUCGGCGGUUGGGGAUGGACUCGCGGCUUAUCAGCUUGUUGGUGGGGUAGUGGCUUACCAAGGCUUUGACGGGUAGCCGGCCUGCGAGGGUGACCGGCCACAGUGGGACUGAGAUACGGCCCAGACUCCUACGGGAGGCAGCAGUGGGGAAUAGUGCACAAUGGGCGGAAGCCUGAUGCAGCAACGCCGCGUGCGGGAUGACGGCCUUCGGGUUGUAAACCGCUUUCGCCUGUGACGAAGCGUGAGUGACGGUAAUGGGUAAAGAAGCACCGGCUAACUACGUG